UUAUCUAUUUUCAAAGCAUUUUCAUCACCCCAAAAAGAAAUCCCAUACCCGUUGGCAGUCACUCCCCUAUUUCCCUCUUCCCCAAGCUCCUGGCAAUCACUAAUCUACCUUCUAUCUCUAUAGAUUUACCUGUUAUGGACAUUUC